GCCAUGCCGCGUGUGUGAAGAAGGUCUUCGGAUUGUAAAGCACUUUAAGUUGGGAGGAAGGGCAGUAAGUUAAUACCUUGCUGUUUUGACGUUACCAACAGAAUAAGCACCGGCUAACUUCGUGCCAGCAGCCGCGGUAAU
rnacentral:rRNA from 1 species